rnacentral:lncRNA from 10 species
GGAGAGGCGGGACUUCCGGUCGGCGCCGCCUGCGAAGUGCUCCGCGGCCGGCGGAGACGCGGGCAGCCAGCGAUGGCCGCGGAGGGGGCGAACUGGGUUCCGGCCCUCGGAGGCUGACGGAAGGCGGUGGCUGAGGAGCGGCGCCUCUGGUUGAGCGCUCGCCGUGUGUCCCGCACCUGUCUGUCCUGCCGCCGCCCGGUAAGGUAGGAAAGGUCAGCGCGCCGGGGUUACGGGUACAGAACCUGGGUUCGAAUCCCGGCCCCGACGUUUCCGCACUACGUGCCGUUGGGCAGGAGCUGACGUCACCUUGCCGGGCCUCAGUUUCCUUCUCUGGUGCGCUGAGGAGGCGGGGCAUGGAACGUGGUCAGCGCUUCAUCGGUGCUGGCUCUUUGAGCAAGCCAGUUCCCGAAGGCUCAGCAUCUCAUUCAUUCAUUAAAAUGUCAUUGAGCGCCUACUGUGUGUCAAUCACUGUAUGGGCAGUGAGCAGAAAAAAAAUACCUGGUCUUAUUGGGCUAACAUUCUAAACCAGCGCUGGCCUAGAAUGCCCUAGUAGAAAUACAUGCAAGCUACAUGUUUAAUUUUUUUUUAUGUAAAGAUGGGCUCUGGUUCUGUUGCCCAGGCUGGUCUCGAACUCCUGGACUCAAGCGAUUCUCCUGCCUCCGCCUCCCAAAGAGCUGGGAUUACAGGCAUGCCUGCACUCUGCCUAAUUUUUUCUUUUUUUUUUUUAUGAUCUGAAAAUAAUAGUCUUUUUAUUUUUAUUUAUUUAUUUAUUUAUUUGAGACGGAGACUCGCUCUGUCGCCAGGCUGGAGUGCAGUGGCGUGAUCUCCGCUCACUGCAACCUCCGCUUCCCAGGUUCAAGCGAUUCUCCUGCCUCAGCCUCCUAAGUAGUUGGGCCUACAGGCGCUGCGCCACCACAACCAGCUAAUUUUUGUAUUUUUAGUAGAGACGGGGUUUCACCGUGUUGGCCAUGAUGAUCUGUAUCUCUUGACCUCGUGAUCUGCCCGCCUCAGCCUCCCAAAGUGCUGGGAUUACAGGCUUGAGCCACUGCGCCUGGCCUACAAUUUUGUUUUUCUUUUUUUUUUUUUUUUUUUGAGACAGGAUCUCACUCUGUCACCCAAUUUGGAGUGCGGUGGUAUGAUCACAGCUAACUGCAGCCUCAACUUCCCCAGCUCAGGCAAUCAAUCCUCCGGCUUCAGAUUCCUGAGUAGCUUAGACUACAGGAUGUGCCACUAUGCCUGGCUAAUGUUUUAUUUUUUUGUAGCGAUGAGGUCUUGCUGUAUUGCCUAGGCUGGUCUCAAACUUCUAGACUUAAGUGAUCCUCCUGCUUUGGCCUCCCAAAGUGUUGGGAUUACAGGCGGGAGCCACGGUGCCCAGCCUGUUUCUUUUUUUAAUCAUAUUUUCUUAGAAGUUUUUUUUUUUUUUUUUUUUUUUUUUGGAGACAGGGUCUCACUCUGCUGUGCAGGCUGGAAUGCAGUGGUGUGAUCUCAGCUCACUGCAACCUCUGCCUCCCUAUUCAAGUGAUUCUCGUGCCUCAGCCUCCCAAGUAGCUGGGAUCACAGGCGUGCAACAUCACACCCAGCUAAUUCUUGUGGUUUUAGUAGAGAUGGGGUUUUGCCAUGUUGGCCAGGCUGGUCUCAAACUCCUGGCCUCAAGUGAUCCACCCACCUCGGCCUCCCAAAGUGCUGGGAUUACAGGCAUGAGCCACCACCCGGCCUAGGAAAGCUUUUUAGAGAUUGGGUCUCACUGUGUUGCCCAGGCUGGAGUGCAGUGGCUGUUCACAGGUGCAAUCAUCCCACAGGUUUAACUCCUGACCUCAAGCAGUCCUUCUGCCUCAGGCUCCCAAGUAGCUGGGAUUAUAGGCACGUGCCACCACACCUAGCUCAAUUAAAUGUUAAAUUUAACAUUUAAUUGUUAAAUUUUAUAGUAGCCAGCAUUCUGGGUCAUCACGGUGCAAUAGAAGUAUAAACAAAGCAGGCCAGGCACAGUAGGUCACGCCUGUAAUCCCAGCACUUUGGGAGGCCGAGGCGGGCAGAUCACCAGGUCAGUAGUUCGAGACCAGCCUGGCCAACAUGUUGAAACCCCAGUCUCUACUAAAAAUACAAAAAUUAGCUGGACGUGGUGGCAGGAGCCUGUAAUCCCAGCUACUCGGGAGGCUGAGGCAGGAGAAUCGCUUGAAACUGGAAAGUGGAGGUUGCAGUGAGCCGAGAUCCCGCCACUGCACUCCAGCCUAGGUGAAAGAGGGAAAUUACAUCUCAAAAAAACAGUAUAAGCAAGCCACAGAUUUGUCAGCGAGGUAUGUAAUUUAAAUUGGUACAUUGUUAGCCAUGUUUAAAAAUAAGUAAAAAGAAACGGGUGAUGUUAGUUGUAAUGUGUUUUAUUUAACUCAGUAGGUUGAAUAUGUUAUUAUUUAAACAUGUAGUCAAUAUUUUAAAAUACAGGAUGUUUUGCAUCUGUUAUCUUUCCAAAAUAGAAGAUACUUUGUGUCCUUUUUCUUUCCUGCAUGCUUUUUUUUUCUUAUUUUUUUGAGACAGAGUCUCACUCUGUUGCCAAGGCUGGAGUGCAGUGGCGGGAUCUCGGCUAACUGCAACCUCCCCAUCCCGGGUUCAAGCGAUUCUCCUGCCUCAGCCUCCCGAGUAGCUGCGAUUACAGACAUUUGCCACCAUGCCCGGCACAGCACAGCACCGCACAUCUCCAGUCGGACUGGCUACAUUUCAAGGGCUCAACCAUCACGCGUUACCAGUGGCUACUGCAUCAGACUGUGCAGUGCUAGAUGGGGAGUCAGAAGAGAAACCAAGUGAUUUCCAUGUCAAGUGGUGAACAGGCUAAGAAGAAAACCUACUCCGAGUGAAGAUGAUGAAGAUGAAGACCGUUAUGAUCCACUUCCACUUAAUGAAAGAUGAAUAUAUUUUCUCUUCCUAAUGAUUUUUUUUUUUUUUUUUUUGGAGACAGAGUCUCGCUGCAUCCCCCAGGCUGGAGUACAGUGGUAUGAUCUUGGCUCACUGCAACCUCUGCCUCCUAGGUUCAAGUGAUUCUCCUGCCUCAGUCUCCCGAGUAGCUGGGAUUACAGGCGCCCACCACCAUGCCCGGCUAAUUUUUGUAUUUUUAGUAGAGAUGGGGUUUCACUAUGUUGGCCAGGCUGGUCUCAAACUCCUGACCUCAGGUGAUCUGCCUGACUUGGCCUCCCAAAGUGCUGGGAUUACAGGCAUGAGCCACCUUGCCUGGCCUCUUCCUAAUGAUUUUUUAAAGUACAUCUUGUUUUCUCUGUCUUACUUUAUCAUAAAAAUAUAUGAUACAAAUAAAAUACAGAAUAUGUGUUAAUGGACUGUGUAUGUUAUGAGUAAGCCUUCCAGUCGACAGUGGGCUAUUAUUGGUGGUUAAGUUUUGGGGGAGUGUGUGUUCAAGGGUCAACCGCACUUCCUGAGGGCACUGUGAGAACUAAGUUAAAUAACCCACUUUUACAAUCUUUGGAACCGGGGGCAGGUGGCUGGGGCUCACACCUGUAAUUACAGCACUUUGGGAGGCUGAGGCAGGAAGAUCCCUUGAGGCCAAGAGUUUGAGACCAGCCUGGGCAACAAAGCAAGACUCUGUCUCUACAAAAAUUUU